rnacentral:rRNA from 1 species
AUUGAACGCUGGCGGCAUGCCUAACACAUGCAAGUCGAACGAGUGGCGGACGGGUGAGUAAUGUCUGGGAAACUGCCCGAUGGAGGGGGAUAACUACUGGAAACGGUAGCUAAUACCGCCUACCAUCGGAUGUGCCCAGAUGGGAUUAGCUAGUGGGGGGGGUAACGGCUCACCUAGGCGACGAUCCCUAGCUGGUCUGAGAGGAUGACGAGCCAAACUGGACCUGAGACACGGUCCAGACUCCUACGGGAGGCAGCAGGGGGGAAUAUUGCACAUGGGGCGCAAGCCGGAGGCAGCAAUGCCGCGGGUAUGAAGAAGGCCUCGGGGUGGUAAAGUACUUUCAGCGAGGAGGCGUUACUCGCAGAAGAAGCACCGGCUAACUCCGUGCCAGCAGCCGCGGUAAUUC